rnacentral:rRNA from 1 species
UACGUAGGGUGCAAGCGUUGCCCGGAUUUAUUGGGCGUAAAGGGCGCGUAGGCGGCUCGGCACGUCCGUUGUGAAAUCGCUCGGCUCAACUGGGCGGGGGUCAGCGGAUACGGCGUAGCUGGAGCAAGCUAGGGGGCAAUGGAAUUCCCGGUGUAGUGGUGGAAUGCGUAGAUAUCGGGGAGGAACACCGGUGGCGAAGGCGGCGACCUGGGUAGAUACUGACGCUGAGGCGCGAAAGCCAGGGGGAGCGAACGGG